GCUCGCUUAGCUCAGUCGGUUAGAGCGACGUGCUAAUAACGCGUAGGUCACAGGUUCGACCCCUGUAGUGAGCA
rfam:Linderina pennispora strain ATCC 12442 DL89scaffold_7, whole genome shotgun sequence.